rnacentral:rRNA from 1 species
GACGGAGGAUGCAAGCGUUAUCCGGAAUGAUUGGGCGUAAAGCGUCCGCAGGUGGCAGUUCAAGUCUGCUGUCAGAGACCGGGGCUUAACUUCGGAAAGGCAGUGGAAACUGAACAGCUAGAGUAUGGUAGGGGCAGAGGGAAUUCCUGGUGUAGCGGUGAAAUGCGUAGAGAUCAGGAAGAACAUCGGUGGCGAAGGCGCUCUGCUGGACCAUAACUGACACUCAGGGACGAAAGCUAGGGGAGCGAAUGGG